rnacentral:rRNA from 1 species
UACGAAGGGGGCUAGCGUUGCUCGGAAUUACUGGGCGUAAAGGGCGCGUAGGCGGACAGUUUAGUCAGAGGUGAAAGCCCAGGGCUCAACCUUGGAAUUGCCUUUGAUACUGGCUGUCUUGAGUUCGGGAGAGGUGAGUGGAAUGCCGAGUGUAGAGGUGAAAUGCGCAGAUAUCGGGAAGAACACCCGUGGCGAAGGCGGUUCUCUGGGACGGUACUGACGCUGAGACGCGAAAGCGUGGGGAGCGAACAGG